CUUGGUAGGUGAGAUGUGAAAGCCCACGGCUCAACCGUGGAAUUGCGUUUCAAACCCCCAAGCUCGAGGAAGAUAGGGGUGGAUGGGAACUUAUGGUGGAGCGGUGAAAUGCGUUGAUAUCAUAGGGAACACCGGUGGCGAAAGCGCAUCACUGGAUCUUUUCCGACGCUGAGGCACGAAAGCUAGGGUAGCGAACGGGAUUAGAUACCCCGGUAGUCCUAGCCGUAAACGAUGAACACUGGGUUNAGGGGGACUUCCACAUCCUCUCGGCCGUAGCGAAAGCGUUAAGUGUUCCGCCUGGGGAGUAUGGUCGCAAGGCUGAAACUCAAAGGAAUUGACGGGGGCUCACACAAGCGGUGGAGGAUGUGGCUUAAUUCGAGGCUACGCGAAGAACCUUACCAGGCCUUGACAUCCUCGGAACUUUCUAGAGAUAGAUUGGUGCCUUCGGGAACCGAGUGACAGGUGCUGCAUGGCU
rnacentral:rRNA from 1 species